GUAGUAAAAGUAUGCCAUAAUGGAAACAUUUCCCCCCUGGGAACAAGGAACUCUAGAUCCACAAGAGAUGAAGGAUUUGGGGCAGGAAACACCAACCCCUCCCAUGGGUAGAAUGGGAAUGAUGACAAGCAGGCUUUCUCAUACUUCUAGCCCUAGGUUCCUAGACUCAUGUUUUCUACCUAUUAAAGGCCCAGCACCUUAAAAUCGUCACUGAUUUGGGGUAUAUGUCCUGUCCUGAAGGACACUAUGCCAUUCAAAGUAUCAUCUUCAAAUUCGCACUCUAUGUGCAUCUUCAAAAGAUAUUUUCACACUGCAUCAUGCUGGCAGCUUCCGAGUGAUGCAGUAUGUGAUGGGACCAGCGGAUUCCAUAGUCAGUGUCUACAUCUGUACCUCUUCACUGCUUUGUGGGUCCUUUCUGUUGAGGCAAUAUUUUGUGAAAACCGAUGUCAGUAGCUCAAACAAUCUCCAAGCCCUCAGAUAGUGGUGCUGGCCAAGCUCCUGUGGGCAGGAAGGGCAAAUAUGUGAUAAUCUAGGUAAAGAUGAAUUGCUGCCUUCUGGCAGAGUGAAAGGAGUUCAAUGUAAUCAACCCGCCACCAAGUAGCUGAUUGUAAUUGAUGGAUGGUGCCGUAACCAGAGUUUAACACUGGCCUCUGUUGCUGACAGGUUGAACAUUAGACAGAGGCAAAGUCUACGUGAGCCCUACCGGGUGAGAGUCCACACCAUUGGCCUUAUGUGUAGCCUCUAUUUCUGCUACCGUGGCUACUCCACUCACACGCUCAUUGUGCCAGGACUGAGGAGAGAGACUGUCUGCUUCGUGGUUCAGUGGCCCUUCUUUGGUGGAUGUUUUUUGGACCUGGAACAAGGAGCCAUAUGUCUUGUUACCUUGGGCCACUUCUUUUUUCACACAAUGUCAGUGACAAGAUCCACCACUGAAAACUGUUUAUCAUGAGGAUUUCCCUCACUGCUACCUUUCAAGAUCAUCCCUCAGUGGGAUCAGAAGCAGUUCAUUUUCAGCUUGCACACACUGAGUUGAACCAUCUUCAAACCAAACGCCGCCACUUUCCUCCUCUAUCAGCUACUCCUACAGGACUUCUUGCGUGACCAGAGUAUCUGAGGCUUGUCCAGCAGGCAAAGCUAUUUCAAACGUAUCCAUAAAGAACUAUAUUAGAAUGAUGACAUUUAAAUGGAAAGGAGGAGAUGGGAGAAGAUAUUGUGAAAAUUCUAUACGUUUGACAAUGGAUUGGAUGG